rnacentral:rRNA from 1 species
CGGAUGAACCCAUAUGGGAUUAGCUAGUAGGUGGGGUAAAGGCUCACCUAGACUACAAUCUCUAGCUGGCCUAAGAGGAUGAUCAGCCACACUGGGACUGAGACACUGUCCAUACUCCUACGGGAGGCAGCAGUGGGGAAUAUUGCACAAUGGGCGCAAGCCUGAUGCCUCCAUUACGCGUGUAUGAAGAAGCCCUUAGGGUUGUAAAGUAUUUUCAGCGGGGAGGAAGGUGAUAAGGUUAAUACCCUUAUCUAUUGACCUUCCCCGCAGAAGAAGCUCCGGCUAACUCCGGGCCACUUCCCGCGGUAAUACGGAGGGCGCAAGCGUUAAUCGGAAUUACUGGGUGUAAAGCGCACGCAGGCGGUCAAUUUAGUCAGAUGUGAAAGCCCCGAGCUUAACUUGGGAAUUGCAUCUGAAACUGGUUGGUUAGAGUCUUGUAGAGGGGGGUAGAAUUCCAUGAGUAGCGGUGAAAUGCGUAGAUAUGUGGAGGAAUACCUGGUGGAGAAGGCGGCCCCCUGGACAAAGACUGACGCUCAGGUGCGAAA